UUGUAGAUUCGUGCUGACUUUUUUUUGUGAGUGCUUAAUUUGGCAGUUUGUAUGACAAUAUGUGGGAUGAUGGGAACUCACUAGGGCCUAAGGAAGUGCACAACUAUUUGACUAGGAUGAUGUACAAUCGUCACAACAAGUUCAACCCACUAUGGAAUUAACUUGUACUUGGAGGAGUGAAAAAUGGUCAGAAGUAUCUUGGAACGGUUAAUAUGAUUGGUGUUCAUUUCGAAGACGAUCAUGUGGCAACUGGAUUUGGUCAGUGCAUUGGAGUAAACAUCCUUGUUGUCUCAAAGUAUUACUGAAGGAUUACCUUGGCGAGACCUGCUGAGCUGCUUUGUCUCAUU